AAUGUAUCCACCAUCUUUGGUUGCUAACGUUACUAGCUAGCGGUCACUCUACUGUGUGACUAACUAAUACUGUAAUUAGCUACAUUUUUUGAAACUAUUAUCUAACUGUGUCGGAGUUGAGAAACUAAUAGUACACCCAACAAUUUCAAAGAAGCUAACGGUAGCUAGCUAAGGUAUAGAGAUAAGUAUUCAGUAAUAGUAAAUUAGCUACCGUACCAUACUCAGAAGAUAGCUUACGUUAGCUAGCUCGCAUUAAGAUAGCCAGAAACAAGACGAGGAAGCGCUAGCUAACAUAGCAUAGAUAGCUAACAAGCAGCCUGGGUUUGAAUUAAAUGCUCCCCAGAAUAGCUGGUAUAUAGGCUAAUGAUAAAUUGCAAGCCAUCUAGUUACCUUUACCUAGGUGCGCUAAUUCCUUGAUUAAAGUAAGUGAACUAGAUAAUUUCACUAACUGAGCCAGGAAGGAAGACAUUUCACAGGUAAAUGAGGAAACAUUGACAAUACAUCAUCAAGUGGACCCAGUAAGGCUGGAGCAUCGCCUGAAUAUUCAAACACUGAAUUCGGCGUCAAUUAUUUCUCAACGUGAUAUGGAAAGACUACAAUUCAAUUCGACCUAAUUGAUGUGGCCAUGAGCAUCAGCUGACUAUUUUCGGUGUGUUUUUCUUUCCUCACGCAGUGGCUGGGAUGAGCCCCCUCUCACCGUAUCUUAAUGUGGAUCCAAGAUAUUUUACACAUGUGCUGCGGUUGGAGCUCUCAACGGGCUCCUCAUAGGACUAUCCGAGACCAAAGACAUGGCUUGGUCUAAGCCACGUAAUAUAUGAGGCGAUUAUUUGGGACCUAAAUCUACUCAAAGUAUAUGCUGCUCCACGCAAAGAAGAAAAGCUAAGUGACAUGCAUGGACAAUCUGACGUGACAUGACAUUAAUCCAUCAUGUGUAAUUAUUAACACUGGACCUCCUGCUUAGUUCACAGUGAGGAUCUUACUCUGUGGUCCAAAGGUAAACUGCUGAUGGGAUCAGACCACCGCUAGAGAGAGGGGGGGAGAAGCACUGAAUUAUAUACCUCUACAUUUGCUGAAAUUGAUUCUCACCAAACCUCUUGGCUGAAUUUAUAAUGCUGAUAGGCAGCAUCAUCAUUUCCCCCAGUCGGUAUCAGUAAUAACACAUUGUUCCAUGGAAAACUGGAUAUAGUAGCCCUAUAUGAUGGUGUUUUGUUGUAAAUCUGAACUACGCUGUUGCUUUCACUGAGAUUAUGUCACACUCACCCGGCCAUUGAAUGACCCUGUGCUUAACACUCUAGAAGAAAAAGAAACGCACACCUCCUUAGGCGAGGUGCUGGCCAGUGGAGCAGAAAACUUGAAAAUAAAAGAGAGCCGCACACUCUAGGAGCUCAGGUGCAAAAAUGUAAUUACCAACGUUUCGACAGCCAAGCUGUCUUCAUGAGGGUAUAACCUGUGCUUAACGCACCUUUGUCGACACACCUGACUUUUUAGUGCUGUGUAACACAGCUGGGUUUAUAGGCCUUGUCAGCGCUCUUGACAUCCCCAGCAAUCACAUGACUUAGUCCCUGUCAGGACAGGAGAAGGAGGGCGAAGUCUGCCUUGGCCACGGGUAGAUUGUGUUCACUGUAAUGCCGGCUCCAGUUGGAAUAUUGGUUUGACCAGGGUCAUUCUUUUUCCAGCUGUUAGAAGAUAGACAGUGUCAUGUGCAGUUUUACUGUUUGUGCAUGUCUGAAGCUGAAUCAGAUCAAUCAUGAAGGUACAGCAGUCUAACUACAUUAUCAUCUGACAGGCUGUUUGUCACUUUGCCUGAUCACCUCAACGCAUGGUUAACCUUUUUGAUAUAGGAUUUCCAUAUAAACUGAAGCAUAACUUCAACGGCCAUGUGUCAGGUUUUCAAUACGCGGCCAUUUUACUAGAACCCCUAAUCUUAAAUCAACCCUUGUAAUCACAUGGACUUUGUCAGAGUUGAUGUUUAGACUGUAGAUGUCUGUGUUUUUAAUGGAUAUGAUAUCCUCACUUUUAGGCUCCUAAAUCUGGUGACCCUCCAAGGAGCGACAUGGGCAAACACACUUGGCUCACUGGCUUUGAUGUACAGUGUGUUUGGGGGUGGCCAUCGAGAAGGCACGGUUAGCAGAGGAUGACAUCAACACUGUUGCUGCUGGGAUUAUGACAGGCAUGCUGUACAAGUCCACAGGCUGGUAGAGGUCAAUUGCGGGGGGGGCAUGCAUGACACUAGAGUACCUGGAAAUACAUAGUCACCUGCAGUAAAAAUGUUUUCUGGCACUAGGGAUCAGACAAUGAUUCCACCUAAAACUCCACCCAGAUGUCUGCAUGUGAUUGAAAGAGGUUGUUGCAGACACCGCUUCCUGGUUAGACUGAUGAUGGGUUCAGGUGUGUACGUGGACCAGCGCGAGGGGGCCUGGCUCUGUCAGCUCUCUGUAUAACAACUGGGACCAACUGAAGGGAAACCCUCCCACCUGCUACUGAGCCCAGCAUGGAACAUGGACCAGUCAAAACAUUUCCCCAAAUAUAUCUUGAUACCUUUGUAGACAUAUCCUCCCUUUCCAUAAUAACUUAUCUUGUCCCUGAGUUAGGCCCCUAAGGUUGCAUUGAAGGGUGGCCAGGUCUGGAAGAUGUCAAGUGUUAUACCUAAUUUAUGCGUAUCAAUUUGUUGCUGGUGUUAAGAUUCAUUGCUGUGAAUAUCUGAUCAACUGCCUAUGCACAGCUUUUUCCUAAAUUGCACUGUCUAAAUGUCACAUUGAAUCAGUAUUAUUGACAGAGUUGAAUGUUGUUGCAAAGAUUGAAUGCUGUCUUACUGAAGUGAAAGGUGGCGUUUCUUCCUAUGGAUGUCUACAUAAGUAUCUCAUUCCACAACUUUGCAUGUGGUAAUUUGCAAAUGUUUGCUUUAUGCCAAGAGAAUGUUACUGUUAAUUGUAUUAAAGACAAGUCACAGUUUUUUAAACUUAGGGAACAUAAUGUCCUUUUCUAUAAAAUGUGAUUUCCUUUAUCAGUAAUGUCAUACCAAGCCAUCUUGUGAUUUCACCCGACUUGCACAAAGAUAAGAUGGAAAAAGAGGCUCUCAAGUCUGUUCUGCUCAUCGCUGUAAACAAAUCUAAGUAGUAAUGAUUAUUUUGCUUCGAUUGCAGUCAUAGAGUUCAAUCAUAUGACACUGAUCUGUGUAUCAUAGCAUAUUAGAUUGGUCUUCACAUUGUUUACUUGUGACAGGUUUUGCAACAUGAAGUUUCUGCAGUUCCAGAAAGAAAAAUGGUAACGGGGAAAAGCAGUUAGCCCACUUAUCUUUAGUCGUGGCGCGGUUCUAUUGGUCGAAAACCCUUUAAAAAUAGAUUGAAGUCAGUUUGCAGAAUCUAUAUAGAACACUUGCAACAGUUGUAGGGUAUUCAAGAAAUUUGAGCUAUGCACUUCUUGACUCAACCCAUUUCAGUGAGGGGGUGUAGAUAUAGGCCAUAGGUUGAGGCCGUCACAUGCAGGGAGAAACAGACGCCUGUGCAUUGAGUUCAGAGUAUGGUUGAACCUGUGGCCAAUGUCUGUCAUCAUGGAAAGACUGGUGAAACUUGGUCUGACAUGGCUUAUCUAAUCCACGAUAGUUGGGUACACAACCCCAUUGUGACAGCAGCCGAUAUUGUCAUCAGCACAACAUUGGUUAAUGCUUCACUGUGCAUUUCUCCAGACCAACUGCCCAUGCUUGCAACUUGGUUUGGGAAAUAAAAAAGUUCAAGCACUUGAGUUACAAAAGAAGGAAGUCCAAGAACAGAACUCAAGGUGUUGUUUUUAUUAAGAGUCAAAUAUGGUACAGGUACAACAGCAGAAAAAGUUAGAUAAGCGAUCAUAUGGAUAGUACUUCAUGGUAAUAUGUUAAAAAUUAACAGGGGGAGAAAAAAAACUAUUAGAAGCAUUCAUCAAGCACCAUUGUGUUUCUCCUCUCCUACCCAACUCCCCAUUGCACUUCAAGAGCCUUGUACAAAUACCUUUGGGUUUACCCACUAUGGAGAGACAUCUACAGAGGUAAUAUGCAGAAAGACAUAUCAGUGGUUAUCAAUACAAGGUGUUAUUUUUGAUCGGUUCUACCGUGAUUACGCAGUAGUCGUUUGCGUCGUUCGAUUCAGCCAAUCGAAAGUCAUUUCAAUGGAAUUACUAUAUUGGGCACAACAUUUUCAGCUUGCAUAUUUGCAACAUGAAAACAAUCAACUCUUGCACGGCAGUGAUACAAUCAACACACAGGUGAUACCGGACAGGAAAACAAACACUUUUCACAACGUAUCCACUAAAUACAAUGAAGCAAACUUGAGGCACAUAAACCAGAACUACAGAGUUAUGGUAGUGCGAUAAAGGAAGAUGUAUUGGUCAUGGAGAACACCUUUAGGUUAAGCUUGUAAUUCAGAUGACUAUUUUGAAGCCAUUGAAGAGAAAGCUAUACUGGUGUUUAAGACAAUAAGAUUCCACCAGAUCAGAAGAAAACAUAUACUAGGAAAUAAAAAUCAAAGUGUAGCUUACAUUACCUGAUAGUCUUAUUUGAGUAUGGGGGCGACUAGAUAUACCCACAGUGCAUAGUCACAGAUGGAAUUCUGUGAACAGCACUAGUGAUGUAUGCGUGACAACUCUUUACCGCAUUCCAUAAAAAGGGUUUCUUAAAAUAAAAAUCUCACCUCCCUCAAACCAAACAUUAAUGUAUUGAGCUGGUACUUUCUCGAGAAUAGAGAUUCUCAAAAAUCACAUUGUGAGUUAGCUUUAGAUCCAAGUGCCCAUCUUGCUAGCUUGACAUUGAGAACGCUAUGAUUAUAGAAGACAAUUUU